GUGUAGCUUAAGCUUCAAGGAUUGGAGACUACUUAUAGGAAAGAAAGAUAGGAACCAUAAACAAAUCAAUAAGGAGGCCAUUCUUAAUCAAGUAAAGAAGAGAUUUCUUUACCCUGCCCGCAUGGAAACAUGGGUGCUGCGAACAAUUGGAGAGAGAUGGAGGCAACACAAGUCCAAUUUGAAAUCCAUUUAUUUUGACCCACAUAAGAGUCAGGAUGCUAAUAAUAGUAAUGCUCCUGAUGGUGUAUUAGCUGAUCAGUGGGUUGCGCUUGUCAAUAAUUGGAUGACCCCUAAAGCACAGGAUUUAAGUGAGGCCAAUAGGAUAAAUUGUACAAGAAGAAAGUCAAUGCAUACAUCUGGAACAAAAAGCUUUGCUCG